CUUCACAUUGGUGUGGCUGGCUUCCGGGUUAAGCGGGCGUUGUGUCAAGAAGCAGCGCGGCUUGGCUGAGUUGUGUUUCGGAGGACACACGGCUCUCGAUCUUCGUCUCUCCCGAGUCCGUACGGGAGUUGCAAUGAUGGGACAAGACUAACUACCAAUUGGAUACCACGCAAUUGGGGAGAAAAAUGGGAGACCAGAACAAAGAGAGGAGGGUAAGGGUCUAUACGUUCCUGCUGGAGCACUUUAGACACCUAGUGCUUUAACAUCACCAUCAAGAUCAGCUAGAACAUCCUAGGAAAUGGCAGUUAGUUGCAAAAUAUGAGUUCAAAUGCAUGCUUUGUGGAUGGGGAGCUGCCCUUGGACAGUGGUGGGGAGGCGGUGCCUGCCAAGACAUUUGGGAUCCUCAGCCUCAAGGAGAUCAAGCCGUCAGCGCUGAGUGGGGCAGCAGGGGCUGGUGGCGACGAGUAGAUUGCCAUGGCCAAGGUGGACCAGAAGAAGAUAGUUUCAUAGAAGAAAGAUUUGAUCGAUAACAUGAUUCCCAUCAUCAUCAAUCUGAAGAGCAUGCUGAAACAGAAGCGCUGGCCAGUCCUGAAGGACAUCAUGGGCUCCCUCCAGCUGAACCUUGAUGCACCGGUACCGCCUGCUGGACAGGAGUAUGGAGAACAUACAAGGGUCACCAGCAUCAUCUCAUCUCUCGUUUUAUGAUAAGCAUAUGGACACAUGUAGCCCACAUGGAGGGUUUUUUACGUACAUCCAAAAAGGAAGCUGGCGAAAAUCAUGUAGGCCUACACAAUACCUAGAUAAAAAAAAGCACUGUUUUGCUGCUUCCAAAUUUGAUCUUUUAAUAAAGCUUGGGUGAAUUUUCAAAGCAGUCUCAAGAGUCAAAACGUUUAUUGCUAGGCUUUGCUACUUGUCGAACACAAGUAGCCUUCAUUGAGGGAG
ensembl:lncRNA